AAAAUAUAUUAUUUCUCACGUAGUCAUUACCCGCGUACAAUAACGAUAUAAAACCCCACUAACCCACUAAUGUUCACGUCCAACUAAGACGAACUUCUGCAUGUUCUCUGGUGAAACACUGCCAAUUCUGCAACUGGGUCUUCCCUUUCCAUCUUUCUUGUUCUGAGAUCAGCGAUCCACAAUCAGACGGCUGAUAGCUUUCCAUUUCUUUGAUAAUGGCGAUAUGGGUUUGCUCAAAGAAAGUGUUUCUUUUGGAAAGAAAAGGUUACAUGAGAGAAAGAGAAGCAUAGGAUAGGAGGAGGGAACUGUUUGUAACGGUAAUCAGCCACAUACCAGCAUCAACUGCUCAAAUUCAAAUCUUGUGCACAUUAAAGGUAAGUUAAAGGAAUUAAAGGAAUGUUAGACCGUUGCCGUAAGAUUUUCAAUUUCUGUUUGCCUUGUUCCAAAAAGGAAUUAUUAAUUUUACCAAAGACUGCUUUCGCUUAUGAACCUUUCAGUGUUCUCAGUGAAUUAUUUGCGUUUCUGAAAACAAUAACGACCUAUGAGUAACCCCUUUUGCUUUUUGUAGCAACAAAGAUGAACACUUCUUUUUCUUUUCUUUUCUUUGAUAAUGUCUUUUUUUCUUCUCUCAGUAGUGAAUAAAAUUCUGCAAUUCAAGCCAAUUCCCGGGCCAAAGUAUCAGAUUCGACUACUCAAUUCCCACCAUUCUAUUUUAUUUCUCCAUAGAUCAAAAAGAGGCUCCACCAACAAAAUUUGUGACACUUCUAUGAUUAUCUUCUCAGAGUAGAGAGUUCAGCAAGUAGGCCUCCACUGAUAAUAAUUAAGCCUCAAAUGGAAUCUUCAUCGAAUUAUGAUGAUAGUUCUGAUCUGGGUUAUCAUCCUUCACCUUCUUCUCUGGACCAAACUGAAACUUCAGGGUUCUCAACAACCAGUGGCGAUUCUUUCUUCUUUCGCCGGAUUUAUUCAGUGACCUCGGCCGUCUCUGACCCUAUAGACGAUAGCAGCUAUUCAAGUGAACCUUCUCCUUGUCACUGGCCGGCAAACAAAUCCUCACCACAUAAUCAGCCUGUGCUUGGAAGGCUAGGUAUGAAGCAACGAAAGCAAAUUAUCGAUGAUCAUGAAUCAGUAGAUCCAGGUUAGUUUGACCCUUUUUUGGUGGCACAUGGUUCUAUAGGUAAUGAGUUUUGCUUAGCUAUAAUGAAAAAAUCUGGCAGAACUAGAGAUGAUGAAAGAAAGAUUCGCAAAGCUUUUGCUUGGUGAAGACAUGUCAGGAAGUGGCAAAGGCGUCUGCACGGCAGUCACAAUCUCAAAUUCCAUAACCAAUCUCUAUGGUAUGUAAAUUUUAAACACAACGACAGUAAACCAUGAAAAUAAAAGGUUCUUGUUUUCCCCUUCUGUUAUUGCUAAACUGUUUUACUUUCUGCAGCAACUGUGUUUGGACAGAAUUUGAGGUUAGAGCCACUGAAUCCUGAGAAAAAGGCCAUGUGGAAGAGAGAAAUGGACUGUCUUCUUUCUGUUUGUGAUUACAUUGUAGAAUUUAUCCCCAAGUCGCAGAAUCUAAAAGAUGGAACAGCUCUGGAGGUAUAGUUUUGUAAUCCGUAACCGAGAAUUCAAGAAUUUAUUAUGUUCUCUUGUUUCUAAAAUGAUUCAUUUGCUUUUAAGGUCAUGGAGAGCAGACCACGAUCAGACAUUUACAUCAACCUUCCCGCAUUAAGAAAGCUCGACUCAAUGCUCAUUGUAAGACCGUCCUUUCUUGUGCUCAGUUUUCUUUCAAAGAUCAUAGGUUACAGUAACACGCAUUGUCUUUGUUUGACAGGAAAUAUUGGAUGGUUUCCAAGAUACAGAAUUCUGGUAUGCAGAACAGGGAAGCAUGUCAUCAAAUUCAACUCUUUCAGGUUCAUUUCGCAGAGUUAUUGUUCAGCGGAAAGAGGAGAAGUGGUGGGUGCCAGUUCCAUGUGUUCCUCCUGGAGGUAUCUCUGAGAAGUCAAGGAAGCACUUGAGACACAAACGUGACUGUGCAUAUCAAAUUCACAAAGCGGCCAUGGCCAUUAAUAGUAGUAUUCUUGCUGAGAUGGAUAUUCCAGACACAUAUAUGGCAUCUCUUCCGAAGGUUAGCCCUUCCCUGCUUAAUCAAAUCAUUAGCACUUUAGUCUUUAUAUAAACAUUGCUGAUCCAGUGUUUUGACAAUUUGUCCUAAUGGAAAUUCAGAGCGGAAGAGCGAGUCUCGGGGACAUAAUUUACCGAUACAUGUGUACAACAGACAAAUUUUCCCCUGACCAUAUUCUUGACUGUCUCAGUAUAGCAUCAGAGCAUGAAGCACUUGAGCUUGCAGACCGAGUAGAAGCUUCAAUGUACACAUGGAGACGUAAAGCCUGCCUAAAUCACUCAAAAUCAUCUUGGGAGAUGGUAAAGGACCUAAUGUCUGACAUUAAUCAGACUGACAAAAAUCAUGUUUUAGCAGAAAGAGCAGACAGCUUGCUCUUCUGCUUGAAGCAGAGGUAUCCUGAACUUUCACAGACAUCCUUGGACACAUGCAAGAUACAGUACAAUCGGGAUGUGGGACAAGCAAUCUUAGAGAGCUACUCAAGAAUUUUAGAAGGCCUAGCAUUCAACAUGGUUGCUUGGAUUGAAGAUGUUCUUUUUGUAGAUAAAUCAGUAAGAAACCAAGGCCAAUAGAAACCUCAAAAAUGAGUUCAAACAUCAACAAGGGGUAUCUUAGUCCAGGAGCUCUCCUCCUACCACCAAUGAACAACUUUUGUAGAAUGCAAGUUUUAUGAGGAAAAAAAAAAACAGGUAGAUGAAUCUAGGAAAUUUUAUUUACUAGCUUCUGAAGUUAAAUCAGUAUUUGUUAUAUCUGUACGAACUAAAUUAUUAGUUCAAUCAACUGAUUUUAAGUAAGAUCUGUACAUUUUCCCCCAAGUGAAACAACCUAAAGCUUCCAAAACCAGAAAAGUUGUCCUCAACUGAGUUGAAAUCAAAUCCAGAAAGGAUCUGAGAACAAACAUAUUAAUGAAAACACAUUUUUGCUAUGCUAUUAA
rnacentral:misc_RNA from 1 species